UCAACCUGAUGAAGGAUGUCACAUAAAUGUGUCAUGUUGGCACAUGUGUGAUGAUUCACCUCUUGGAUAUCUCCUUGUUUUAUUUAUUUAUUUAUUUAUUAUUAUUAUUAUUUUUUGAUGUUCUCAUUGUCUAUGUGAGGGAGUUCACCCUUAUAUAAGAUGUGAACAAACAUAAAUCACUCAUGCUUGCCUGUCAGCCUACUUGGAUGUAUGCAAUUUUGUGUAAUCUUUCUUCUAUAUGUAAUUGAAUAAUAAUGUUGAUUUUCAGCUACAAGGACCGAUUUCUUGCUGCUUUGCCAGCACCUCGUUGAGCAAGUGUUGACUUCAGUUGGCCUGUUUUCACAGCCACUGCAUUCUACUUGUGUGCAAAAAGGCACAAGCUUAAAGUAGACAAGAUUAAGCUUAUUGAGCUAUGUGGCACAUCAGAAUCUGAAUUUACUAGUGUUUUCCUGCAUCAAUUUUCUCAUAAGAUGUUGCUUCUUGUGCAACAGAUUCUGUACAUGCAUGUUUCCAUUUUCACCAAGACACUAAGAAUAAAAGACAAACAACAGAUGACUGUGACUCUGUAAUAGCCAAA